CCAAAGGCCACGAUAAGAACAGGAAGCAGAACUAUAUGAGCCUCUGCUCCAAUCCAGCAAAUUUAUUGAUGUGCAGCAUUCGCAAGUUGUGGCUCAUGAAUGUGGCAGGAAGGAGCACAACAACUACAUGUCUGUGACUUUUGGCGUGGGAUUUCUGUUUGAGAUCCAUUAUCAGUGACGCCAGUGCAAGAGGGCAGCCUGACCAGAAAACUGGUAAGAAGCAGCUUAGGGGGAACCUAAUGCUGAUUGUUGACGUGAAAAACAGCUCCAAAUAAGGUACAGUGGUACCUCGGGUUACAUGCGCUUCAGGUUACAUACGCUUCAGGUUACAGACUCCGCUAACCCAGAAAUAGUACCUCAGGUUAAGAACUUUGCUUCAGGAUGAGAACAGAAAUCGCAUGGCGGCGGCGCGGCGGCAGCAGGAGGCCCCAUUAGAUAAAGUGGUGCUUCAGGUUAAGAACAGUUUCAGGUUAAGAACGGACCUCUGUAACGAAUUAAGUACUUAACCCGAGGUACCACUGUACAAGGAAGGCUCUGCAUGUACAGUAAAAAAAGGGGGGAGUGAAUAAUGUUUUCAAGAAUUGUGAUUGGAUGAGAGAUGGUGGGGCGAUGGGGUGGCAGAAGGUGGUUGGGAAGAGGAUGAAACAGCUGAGAUGAUGUAAAAGUAAAAGGUAAAGGACCCCUGGAAGGUUAAGUCCAGUCAAAGGUGACUAUGGGGUUGUGACACUCAUCUCGCUUUCAGGCCAAGGGAGCCGGCAUUUGCCCACAGACAGCUUUCCGGGUCAUGUGGCCAGCAAGACUAAACCACUUCUGGGGCAACAGAACACCGUGAUGGAAACCAGAGCACACAGAAAUGCCGUUUACCUUCCUGCCACAGUGGUACCUAUUUAUCUACUUGCACUGGUAUGUUUUCAAACUGCUAGGUUGGCAGGAGCUGGGAAAGAGCAACGAGAGCUCACCUCAUAGUGGGGAGUCGAACCGCCAACCUUCUGAUCAGCAAGCCCAAGAGGCUCAGUGGUUUGGACCACAACGCCCCCCGUGUCCCUGAGAUGAGGUCUAUUUGCCUAUAUAGUGUGUCAUAAAGAACACCUAAUGAACACAGAUUCUUUGAACCCUAUCCUGUAAUGCAUUACUGAAUAAAGUC